AGUGAACGCUGGCGGUAGGCCUAACACAUGCAAGUCGAACGGCAGCACAGUAAGAGCUUGCUCUUACGGGUGGCGAGUGGCGGACGGGUGAGGAAUACAUCGGAAUCUACUUUUUCGUGGGGGAUAACGUAGGGAAACUUACGCUAAUACCGCAUACGACCUACGGGUGAAAGCAGGGGAUCUUCGGACCUUGCGCGAUUGAAUGAGCCGAUGUCGGAUUAGCUAGUUGGCGGGGUAAAGGCCCACCAAGGCGACGAUCCGUAGCUGGUCUGAGAGGAUGAUCAGCCACACGGGAACUGAGACACGGUCCAGACUCCUACGGGAGGCAGCAGUGGGGAAUAUUAGACAAUGGGCGCAAGCCUGAUCCAGCCAUACCGCGUGGGUGAAGAAGGCCUUCGGGUUGUAAAGCCCUUUUGUCGGGAAAGAAAAGCAGCAGGUUAAUACCCCGCUGUUCUGACGGUACCCAAAGAAUAAGCACCGGCUAACUUCGUG
rnacentral:rRNA from 1 species